rnacentral:rRNA from 1 species
ACGGAAGGCAGCAGUGAGGAAUAUUGGUCAAUGGGCGGAAGCCUGAACCAGCCAAGUCGCGUGAAGGAUGAAGGUAUUAUGUAUUGUAAACUUCUUUAGACGUAGAGAAAUAAGGGGGUCGUGACCUCUGAUGCUAGUAUACGUAGAAUAAGGAUCGGCUAACUCCGUGCCAGCAGCCGCGGUAAUACGGAGGAUCCGAGCGUUAUCCGGAUUUAUUGGGUUUAAAGGGUGCGCAGGCGGCUUUUUAAGUCAGUGGUUAAAUCGUGGAGCUUAACUCCAUCCCGCCAUUGAUACUGGAGAGCCUGAUUGCGGUUGAGGUUGGCGGAAUUCGCCGUGUAGCGGUGAAAUGCAUAGAUAUGGCGAAGAACUCCGAUUGCGUAGGCAGCUGACCAAGCCGUAAAUGACGCUCAUGCACGAAAGUGCGGGGAUCGAACAGGAUUAGAUACCCUGGUA